ACUAUUCACACAGUGCAAACGAUCUGCUUCUUGACAACGAGAGAACAAUCCUCUUCUUUUUCUGCAAAUAAUAAUCCCUCUACAAUCAAACUCAUUCUUUCUCGUCGAACUGCGUUAAUGUUCCUCAUCACACCUCCAAUUCCAAUUUCGAUUCUUACGAUUCAGACUUCAGAGACGAUUUUGGCACGAUACCUUCUUCACUAAUUUUAUUUUUUGAUUAUUUAGGCUUUUAUUUUAUCGUUCAAUUAAGAUAAUGAGACUUUCAAUUUUGCUUUGAAGCAACAAUCGUGUUUUCUUCUUCGCUCCUCAGAAUCGUGACUCAAACCCGAACAUAAUCAUCAUGUCUUCGUUCCUCAGAAUCGUGACUUCUAACCACCAAACAGUUUCAGCUUCCAAUCAGUAAUGGGAAAGUGCGCCAUGUAAAUCAAGCUAACCACCAUAUGUACCUUUUCCUAGGAAUUGGUUCAGGAACAAUUAUGGUAGGUGCCCAUCUUAUUACAUGGAAUGUUGCAGACAGUUGCUAAGCGGAUGCAUCUGAAGUUGCAGAGGACAUUAAGGUUUUAACUUGGAAAUGGAGUGCUCAUAAAUUGAAGAUCGCCCCGUGUUUAUAUUACGAAUGGACUUGGGACCCGGGUAUUUGUUUUGAGCGCUGAUGAGCUCUGCUGAUUUUUUUUAGCUGCCUUGACAGUCUUGUGGUUUUUUGCUAUCAGAAGAGACUGACGUUUGCUGCUACUGGUUUUUCUCUCUUUCUGUUUGGUGUGUUUUGUGGGAGUGGACUUGGUUUUAUUGUUUGUGUUUCAAUUCUUGUUGGUUUCUAUCAUUUUAUCUUGUUUUUCGGUGUUGGUGGGUAUUUGUUUGUUUUUAGGUGUUCUCUACUGCUUGUUUUCCUUGUUCUACAUUGUAUCUCCAAUUUAUGGUACUUCUUAUACUAUGUUGGCUUAUAAUAAAGUUUUGUUGAUUCAAAAAAAAAAAUGCACAUGUUGACCAUAACCAUUGUUUUACAAUCUUAAGCAGGUUUUUUUUUUCUUUUUCAGUUGACUAAUCUAAUUGGUCAGCUGCUUGAUCUGGGAGGCCUACAAUAUUUAGCAGUUGCAGCCUGAGGUGUGGGUCUGCUGUGUAUUUAGUAGAUUGGAGGCUUGGUUUGAUGUUUAAAGACAUUUUGAGGUGGAUCAUUGUAAGUGUCAUUGUCCCUUGUUUCUUGCUUGUCGGUUGAAUGGUAUGUUUGGCAUUAGGCAAUCUCUUACUGUUUGGAGCUUUGCGAUGUUAUCUAGCUUUGCGAUGCCUGUGACUGUCUGGAGUUUUGUGUAGUUUCCUCUGCUGUUGUGUUAUCUUGCAGGGGUUGUUCAUUGGUUUUUAGUAGGAUGAACUUGUGUUAUUUUUGUUUUCAUCUACAAUAAACGUGCCCUCUUAGGAAGUUAUUUGUGUAAGUUUUGCACAUAAUCAAUUAAUUUUAACUUAAUUAUAUUUUAUGCCUCAAACUAUAUUGAACUUUAUUAAUAUUUUAGUUAGGGAUUUUUAAUAUUCUUUUCAUUUUUUAGAACAGGACAUUUUCUCAAGCAUGGUUUAUCUCUUCAUGGGUUCCAAAUGUCAUUGUUGCUAAGAAGUAAGAAAACAGAAAAUCCACCUCAAGCAUUAAGUAAGAAGCAAUUGUUGAUGAGAGAUUUGAGGUAUCUCUUAUUUUACUCUUAUUUUAAUUAUCAUUUGAUUGUGGUAUUAUAUUGCUAUUGCAAGUUUGUACGUAGUUUAAUAAUGAUUAAAAGUUUUGUAACAUUGUUGAUAAUGGCAUGUGUUAAGUUAAGAGACAAGGUUUGGUGACAUUUCUUAUCUCUUUCUCCUUGUCUUAGUGUUGUUUAAUACUUGUGAAUGUUACUUUUGUUUCUGAGUGUGAGUAUAUAUAUAUAUAUGCACUGCUAUGUAGUGUAAUUUGUAUUGGAAUUUUUGGUUUGUUCUUGUGAUGCACUGCUAUGUAAUCUCAUUAACUUAGCAACAAUGUCUUUGGUUUUGUUUCUGAGUUUGCUUUGAACUAUUAAUUAGCAUAUAUUGAAUAAUGU